AUUGAACGCUGGCGGCAGGCCUAACACAUGCAAGUCGAACGAGUGGCGGACGGGUGAGUAAUGUCUGGGAAACUGCCCGAUGGAGGGGGAUAACUACUGGAAACGGUAGCUAAUACCGCAUACCAUCGGAUGUGCCCAGAUGGGAUUAGCUAGUAGGUGGGGUAACGGCUCACCUAGGCGACGAUCCCUAGCUGGUCUGAGAGGAUGACCAGCCACACUGUAACUGAGACCAGGUCCAGACUCCUACGGGAGGCAGCAGUUGGGAAUAGUGCACAAUGGGCGCAAGCCUGAUGCAGCCAUGCCGCGUGUAUGAAGAAGGCCUUCGGGUGGUAAAGUACUGUCAGCGGGGAGGCGUUACCCGCAGAAGAAGCACCGGCUAACUCCGUGCCAGCAGCCGCGGUAAUUC
rnacentral:rRNA from 1 species